rnacentral:tRNA from 1 species
UCUGCGGUGGUCCAGUGUUAGCACUCGGUACUUUCACUGCUGAGGGCCCGGGUUCAAUCCCUGGUUGGGGAA